GCUCUAUUAAGGAGGAUGAUGUAAAGAGUAGGAGUUGGGAUUUUGAGGAUCCGCAAGUGUAACAAUACGAUGGGAUUUAGAGGCUCCGCAAGUGGAACGGGCAAUUUUUCUAUCACUGUCCAGUUGCAGAACACAACUUUCGACGACGUCUUCAAUCUUCCGGAGAGGUGAGUUAAACUCUCAUUUUUUGGGGAAGUGCAAUGAGGUCGUAAAAAUUUGUUGUUUGAAGGAGACUUCAAAAACCACCUUGGCUCCUCUACCUUUUGCCAUAUAAAGUCCUAUAUAAUGCAUCAGUUCCUAAACCGAAGUGAAGACAACACAAUAAGAAGAUUAAAGCUACCCAGAUUGGGAAAUAACUGAAAAAUUGCCAAGGAAUGGCGGAAUAUUUUUGAUGUACACAAUCUUAAUCAUAAUUAAUCCAUUAAAUAUAUAAACUAACAUAAUUGAAUACCGUGUGAAAAUGAUAUUGCAGAAAACCGUCAGGAAGCAAUUUAUGUUCUCUGUUUUCAUGUAAUGAGGAUGCCAUUAAAAACAAAGAAUUAUCAGUUCACCAUCAUGACACACUGAUGCUGUAGAGUUUUGUAAUGUAGUAAAUAAAAAAACUUUUGUUAUAUUAACCUAUGAGAUUUUAACUUCCCUUUUUCUGUAAUAUCGUAACUCAUCUUGCCAAACAGAUCAAUUUUAAAAAAUGCAAAUGUCGGACAGUAUUACAUUUUGUACUAGAAUAAUAUAAUAUGUAAACUAAACAUCAUUCUGAGCCUUCUGGUAUGGGGCAAUCUUAAUUUGAUUGAUAAUAUGGGACCAAUGCUUUAUAUAUUGUCUCAAAAUCAAGUCUAAUUUUUAGUAUUAAAGUAUGGGAAAAUGGUAUUCCAGUUGUUUUACAACCAAAUUGCGUGCAGGAUUAUUCCAAGAAAUGAUAAUACAAUGUAUAUGUGUUGACAUACAUUAUUGCUUAUUUGAUCAGGUAAUUGGUAUAUGUGUUGACAUACAUUAUUGCUUAUUUGCUUGCAGUGUGGGAAAUUAUGGAACAUGUGAAUGAUGAAACUUUUUCGGAGUUCGAUAAUGAUAAUGUGGCAGAGAAUACCAACCGGGUGGAAGAAGAAACAUUAGGACACAAUGGGCUAAUUGUGCCUGAGGUGGGUAUGAUUUUCAAUGGUGAGGAUGAAUUGCUUGACUUCUACAAGAGAUAUGCCUAUGAUGUUAGUUUUCCAGUUCGGAAAAGAAACUCAAAAAAGGGAGACAAUGGACAAUUGAAAUAUUUGACCUUGACGUGUAGUUGUGAGGGCUGAAGAACGAGCAAUGCAAGAGGUUCUUUAAAUCCACAACCACUCAGUCGGACAGAUUGUAAAGCACGGAUAUCUGCUUCUUCAGAUAGUCACGGUAUGUGAAAAAUUAACACAAUCCACCUUGAUCAUAAUCAUAGAACCAGCCCUUCCAAGUCAAGGUUAUAUCGAUGCAACAGAGAGUUGAAUGUAAAUGUGAAACGAAGACUUGAAGCGAAUGACUUGGCAGGAAUUCCGUUACACAAAAGUUUUAACUCUGCAGUUUUUGAAGCUGGGGGAUAUGAGAAUAUGAGGUAUCUGGAAAAAGACUGUCGAAAUUAUAUUGAACAAGUGAGGCGAUUGCGACUGAGAGAAGGAGAUGUGGCAGCAAUACGUGUUAUUUUUCAAAAAUGCAGGUACAGUACAAUGGUUUUUACUUCAGUAUGGAUAUAGACGAUGAGUCUCGCCUGAAAAAUGUCUUCUGGUCUGAUAGUAGGUGUAGGCAGGCAUACAUGGAGUUUGGCGACGUCUUCACAUUCGACACAACUUAUCUCAUUAACAAAUAUGGCAUGCCAUUCGCACCUUUUGUUGGUGUGAAUCAUCACAGUCAAUCAACAUUAUUUGGUUGUGGGUUGUUAUCGAACGAGAAUACAAAUACCUUUGUAAGACUGUUUAGGACGUGGCUCGAGUGCAUGCACGGUAAAGCUCCGCAUGGAAUAAUUACCGAUUAGGAUAGAGCCAUGCAGAAUGCUAUUGAGAUCGUUUUCCCAGAUACAAAACAUAGGUGGUGUUUGUGGCACAUUUUGAAGAAGUUGUCGGAGAAGUUUGGCUACCAUGUUGAUAAAGCUUCCAUAUUUUCGGCUAUACAUCACCUGGUGUGUGAUUCACAAAAUAUCAAAGAAUUUGAGGCAUGUUGGAAAGAGAUGAUACAGACGUAUGAGUUGACAGAUAAUGAAUGGUUGUCGGGGUUGUAUGUUAAUAGAAGUCGAUGGGUUCCUUCCUUUUUGAAAAUGACUUUCUGGGCAGGGAUGUCCACAAUGCAACGUAGUGAGAGUAUGAAUGCGUUCUUCGAUGGUUAUGUCCAUUCAAAGACAUUACUGAAACAGUUUGUGGAGCAAUAUGAAAGAGCACUAAGAAGUAAGGUUGAAAAGGAGUUCUAGGCGGAUUUCAGGUCGUAUUCGCAGAUUGUACCAUGUGCUACGAAUUAUGAUAUUGAAAAGCAUUUUCAGUUAAUCUAUAGCAUAUUGAAAUUCAGGAAGAUUCAAGAAGAAUUCAAGGGGAAGGUCUAUUGUGACCUCAUACCUGUGUCAGAGGGAUCUUCUGGAACCACAUAUGAAGUACAUGAGGAUGUCCUUUAUCAAGAGCAGCGGAAGAAGAAAUCUUUUUUGUCUCGUUUCAGAGACAGACGUCCGAGUUUAUAUGUAGCUGCCACUUGUUCGAGUUUCGUGGUAUUAUUUGCAGACAUAUGAUUGCAGUAUUAAUUCGUAACGCUGUCACACAGUUGCCUAAGCAUUAUACCCUGCGAAGAUGGAGAAGAGAUGUCAGUAGAGCUUACAUGAGGGUUGUGGUGAAUUAUGCUGGUCUUGUCAAUGUUCCUAGACAAUUAAGGUACGACAGUAUGGUCCAUGCUUUUGCAGAGUGGCUGACCUUGCUGUAGAUGACGAAUCGGACACGUGCGAUAUUGGACUUGAUAAAAUUGCAAGCGAAAGAGAUGAAGUCAACAAAAUCUUAUUCUGGAAGGAAUAUCGUUUCAUUGCAAACGGCGCAUUUAUCCGCUCAGUGUCCUCCUUCAUAGACUUCUGCGGACGAGAUCAUACGAGAUCCGAAUGUGGUAAAGAAAAAGGGUGCACCCCGAAGGCUUCGGCGGAAAAGUCCAUUGGAGUUAACGUCAAAGAAAUCGGGGGUUUGUUCUUGUAUUCGUGUCUCUAUGAUUCGGUAAUCCUAAAUUUGUAUUCUAGUGUAAUUUCGUUGUACAUGUAGGCAAGUUCGACAUCACACAAAGGAAAGAGACCGCGAGCGAGGCACAGAAAUAGUGACAUGGCUGGACCUACCUUUGUGGCUUCACAGGAACAUAAUUCCCCGCACAUUCACUUCUCUUAUCCACAGCCGUUGUUGGUGAGUGCCUUCAUUAAAUUAACAUUUAUUGUGCUCUGUGUUACUGAAGUUCUUUUUUAUGCGGGGCAAUACCGAAAGUCAUGCGUUCACGCCACACUUGCCAACGUCUACUAUAACCCCACCGCUGUCAACAAGUGUCACAUUCAAUCCGCAAGGUGACGAUGAGGAUAAUUCAUUACAUUUCCGUACUCUUCAACUACAUGUACUAAUUUUUGUAUUGUUUGACAAGUCAUCCGUUUCCGUACUACUAUGCACACAUUCCACCACAAGAUGGUCCGACCUCAUGAAUGUGUGGAAGGCUUCAACUGCGACAAAUGGGUUAACGGAUGUUCAAGGUUUAGUGGGCCGUACAAGUGGUUUUGAUGGCCAAAAUGAAGAACAUUAAAUGUAUGUACAAGUGGUUUUGCUAGCCAACUCCAACUCAUGAAAAAACAUAAGUCUUGUAUGUGUUUGUUAUUAUAUCGUGACAUGUUUUAGGGCUUAGGGUAGUACCUGGUGGAUUUUAUGGCAUGUCUUGGUUAAGCAGUUUUGUGACAGGUUUUACACUUUUG
rnacentral:lncRNA from 1 species